GUGUGAACACGUUGCCAAGUUCUCGUGCAAACAUUCUUUUCUUGUCCUUCAAACAAGACACACAGGCAGGUUUCAUUUCUAACUAGUCACGAUGCCAGAGAGCGAUAGACCUCAACACACUUGGAUACCUCGAGUAAUAAGGUGUAUCUCUGUGAUUUUCUUCAUCCUGUUUAAUGUUCAAGCGAUAGUUGGAUGUGUGUACUUUAAUGACUGUCCAAGGGCGCCCUCCAUUCCCAUCAUUCUGGUUAUUUGUGGAUUCAUACCUGUCUUGUGGGGAUUGAGCCGGUUUUUGAACAGGUGCAAUAUUUUCUUCGACUGUCUGUUCCUCAACCUCCAUUUUGCCUGCUUCAUCAUCGGUAGCAUAAUCGUCUACUCCAUCUAUGAACCCGACUACAACAAGAACACUACAGAAACCGAUCACUACUGCAACAAGACGCUCUACCUGUCUGCAUUUUGUUGCAUCACCCUGACCUACAUCAUGACAGGUGUUUAUGCUUUCACUUAUUUUUUUGCUCGCUGCACCAACCAGAUGGUUUACGAUGAUGAGGAUCGGCCACUGUUGUGGAGCUAAUCAUAUGAAAGUGUGUACGUUUGUGUGUUCCCCACCUCCUCUUAGACCAGUGGACCAAUACUGAUGAAACAGAUUAAAAUGGUUUCACAAUAAUAUAUAUCAUAUCAAAUAUAUCAAACUAUAAUGGUCAUAUACUAAUAAUAAUAAUGAUGCUGGCUGUAAUAAAAUCACAAGCAAACAACAGACCAAAUAUUAUACAAAUAUUUUCAUGUGUGCUUAUAUACAGAACAUAAUCCAUUUAAUGUUGGUUAAUACAGCAACAUGCAGUUUUUGAUCUUUUGUUAGAGAAAUCUUACUAUUAACAAUUCAUACAGAUGACUCAUCAUAGCAGAAUAAAUGAUCAUGAUCUUCCCCGUUUAACAAACGGAUAUAUUUUGUGUUAUUAAAUGUGUGAUUUUAUUUAUUUUCCAAUAUCCAUGCUGUUUCUUUCUUCUUCUUCUUCUUUUUAAUUGUAAGUAAAUAAAUAAAUAAAAUGGGUUAGGACAACAGGACAACCUGUUGUUGAUUGGUUCUUGUUGUUUUGAGACAGCAGCUUUGAUCAUUGAUGUGUGGUGUAGAUUUAAGCUGCUUCAAACUUCUCUUGUACCUCCGCUAGUUUGUAAGUUAACACCAGAGCACUAUUACAUUUCCUAGUUGUUUAUUAUGCUAAACACCCCUUUUUUAUUUUAUUUUAUUUUAUUUUAUUUUAUUUUAUUUUAUUUUAUUUUAUUUUAUUUUAUUUUAUUUUAUUUUAUUUUAUUUUAUUUUUGCUUUGCUCUAUGCUCUAUGAGAAAACACACUUCUACCCUGUGGGGCAAGGAAUCGCCUGCAGUAAUAUUUGAGGCCACUAGAUGUCCCCCUAAUGCCUCUACAUCAUGCAGUAAAUAAUUGUUAUGACUGAAUCUCGAAUAACAAAUUUUCUCAACAUUAUUCAUUUUCUUUCCAUUAUUAAUAUAUAUCCUUUUUUUGCCUUUUGACAUGAUUUUUUUCUACACUCAACCAUCAGUGAAAUUAAAUUAUUAAAAAUAAAAGAGAGCGGUGUUGGAACUGAGAACAGGGCGUGUAUUUCACAAGAAGCAGAAAGACCUCGUCCAGCACAGGAAGUGCACUUAUACUCUGUCUACAACAAUGUUUAUGCGAAUACGAGGGGAGGCUGAUGGAAACUUCUUCUGGGAGUAAAACUGUCAGUUAGAAAAGAAGAACCAUGGCCUACUCUCAUAAGAGUCUGGGGUUUUCUUCAACAGAGGUGUUUACGUUUGUGCUCUGAUCUGUGAACACAAAAGAGAGCUUUGGAAAACUGAAAACUAACACUGGAAAAAGGAUACAGUGAAUUUUCUGCAAACCCUGAGCUUUACCCCACAUUUCCUUAAAUAUACAAAAACAAACAAGAAAAUAAACGAAAACAGAAAACAGAUAUUUUUUCAUUGUUAAUUUUCUUUAUCUAAAAGUGAUUCACAUGUUUAAUUACCAUGGAAAUGGCUGUACUUACUUAUGAUUACAUGAUAUAACUGUAAUGGGAAGGGCAGGCAAAAAGAGAACAGGCGUUAAAGUGAGACAGUGUAAGAGGAAGUUGAAACAAUAUCAUGCGCACAUUGCUCUUUAUGUGGCCACGUACUUGCAACAGUCCUUUUCUGUAUCUUCAAAUGUGUCCGGUCAGACACACAAACAGGUUCGACUAAUAGUUAUCAUGCCAGGGAGUCAGAGACCACAAUUCGUGUGUGGACUACGAAACAUAGUAAUAGGAUGUACCUUGAUCAUUUUCUCCUUCACAUUUGUUGCUCAAGGAAUACUUGGUUCAGGACUCUAUAACUGUCCCAGACAGACUUUUAUCCCUUUCUACAUGUCCCUGUAUGGGAUCAUACCGGUCUUCCUGGCACUGAGCUUAUGGCACAACUGGUGCAACACUUUCUGUUGGUCCAUGACCAUCAUCUUCCUGUGUGGCUGGUUACUUGCGGGUAAUAUAGUCAUCUACUCUAUUUAUGAACCCAACUACAACAAGAAUAUGACACAGCCUGAUGUCUACUGCAACACGAUGCUCUACCUGUUCGCGUUUUGUUUCACCGUUGUGACCUACAUCCUGUUAGCGAUGCUCUUUUUAGCUUUUUGCUGUUGUAGACAACGACAGCCCGAUGGUGACAAUGACACUCAAAGACUUGUGCUGUAAUUAAAUAGAGAUAAUUAAAACAAGACAACAAUUAUGGCAGAUGGUGCAUUUAAAGACAGUUUUCCUGUGUGUCCGGGUAUAUACCAUGUGCAUUCCACAACACUCUUUUAAUAUGUAAAAAUAUCCUUGGAUAAAGCAAGUUUUAGAGUUGAGCACAACUCUAUGAGACGGGAUGAUGUGUCUGUGGCUGGACACAAACCACUUACUGUUCUGUUGCAGAAAGAGCAGCAUUGUGUUUGCAAAUAAGUCAUGAAACAGUUUUUCCCCGUGUUCUUUAUCAUUAACAUAUCGUGCUGUGCAGGAGUCUUGAGCCACCCCUUUUUGUUUGCAUUAAUAUGUUUAUUAAGACAUGCAAACAUACAUAGAAAUACAGCAUAUAAGGUAAAAACAGAAUCUGUAUAAAGUCAAUAUUUGGUGUGAUCAUCUUUAUUCGUCAGCAUUCGUCAGUCUGCAAUCUCUCAGUCAAACUUUCUUAUUAUUUCUUCAAGUAGUCUUCAGGAAUAGUUCUCCAGGCUUCUUGAUUUCCAAGCUCUUCUUUGGAUGAUGGUUGGAUGAUUUAUAGGUCACUGUUGUUGUCAUAUUAUCAUGAUCACCAUCGUCGAGCAUGGUUUUCUGUCAGAUACCCUAUCUGACAGAUACAGGGACUGCACUGAAAAUGAGUGAAAAAGCAGCCAAUGAAAGACCUUCAGAAAACCUGGAGAACUAUUUCUCAAGACCACCUUAAAAAUUACAAUUAAAAGUCUGGCUCCUUGGGAAAAUUAUUUUAAACAUGAGGGGUGGCUCAAGUCUUUUGCACAGACUAAAAAUGUAUCUACAUGUUAAUUUAUUGUCUUUAAAUAAAAACGAAUGAAACAUUAUAUCAAUAUUUCCUGUCCUUUUAUUGGCUGAUGCCGUCUUUUCCAGCCUGCUUCCUGAAUAAUAUGAAAUGACAAUUUUCACAAUAAAAGCAGGAGAUGCAUUUUAUAAAAGCAAACUUUGCGCUGCUGAGAAACAUGUGGCAUUAAAUUCUUGAGGUAGAGGUCCGAGUGGGUUAGGGCAAUUGAGAGGAAGUGUUGUUAUCUUAAAACAAAAGCCUGUCAAAAGUGUGUUUGUAUUUACAGAAGCUGUUGUGUCUGCAACGUCUUCUGCUGAUAGUAAAAUUAUGAGAAAAGAAGAACCAUGACCCACUGUUUUUCCUUGACAGAGACAUUGUUGGUGGUUGGCCACGUUUUUGCACUGAUCUGUGACGCAAACAGUUCUUUAGGAACCUGAAACCUAAACUACGUUUAAAACCUUAAACUAGAAGAAAACAGCUUACAGUUUCUUAAAAAACUGAAGCAAGGAAAAUAUGUUUGCAAUUUUUCAAAUAAAGAAUUAUUUAAAAGAGUAAGUGGCUGUACUUACUAAUGAUUAAAUGAUAUAACUGUAAUGGGAAGGUAAGGCAAAAAGAGAACAAGCAGUAACGUGAAACACUGUAACAGGAAGUUGAAACAAUAUCAUGACCACACGGCCACAAUCUCUGUGCUCAUGUUCUUGCGACAGUCCUUUUCUGUAUCUUCAAAUGUGUCCGGUCAGACACACAAACAGCUUCCAAAACUGAUGUAUGUCGUGAAGAGCCCUUUACUCCCAUGUGCAUCCUCAGUUACUGAAUCAUGUCUGCAUUCAUGGCACUGAGCGUGUGCACAGCUCCAAGACUGCAGCGCCAAAUGGUGCAACAUUGUCUGUUGCUCAAUCCCGAUUGUGUUCUGCUGUUGUUGGUUCCUUGCUAAAAAAAAAAAAGAAGAAGAAGAAGAAGAAAGAAAAAGAUAUCAACAGCAGUAGAUACCUGCUUUAAAAAUAUUAUUUACAGACUGCACUGCCAGAAUAACCAACAACAUAUAGACUGUGUAUCUAUACAUUUAUUUAUUACAUUUGGAAAAUGAAUGCCUUAAAGUAGCAUCUUAAAUUUUUUUUUACAGGUAAUCUGUGGCUCUACUACAAUUUUAAACCCAAAUGCAACAAGAGCACAAUCAAAGCCACUGUCUACUGCAGCGAGACACUCUGUCUGUCUGCAUUUUGAAACACCAACUAGACCUGCAUCCUGGUCGCACCGCUGUUUUUCUCUUUUUUUGUUCUAAUGGCGAUAAUGAGACUCAAACACUUGAGUUUUGCUAUUAACAUAUCAGGUACCUAUAAAUCACUGUGGAAUAGACUGUAUGUGAAUUCUAAUGCACGCAUUUAUUUUAUUAAGGUGUUGGUUUGAAGGAGUUGGCGUCACACAUUUAAAAAUACUCAUAAGGGUGAGAAAGUGAUGUUUCUUCACUGAGAACUUUCAGUGAAAUGACCUCAUUGAAACAUACAUACAGUUUACAGUAUAGACCUUAUUAAAUACAAUUACAUGUGCAUUUUGGUGAGAAGCUUAUAUGCAUUUUAAUGGUUUCUUAUAGUAGGCAAAGUUCCUUUAAAGACCGCACUGUCAUGAGGCUCCUCACCUGUUUGCGUUAAUGCUGUACAAUACUGCCACCUUGUGUUUAAAGGCGUCUGUGUCCUGUUAACAGCAAGCUGAGUGGCCAGUAACUAGUUUCUGGAGGUGACUGCGUCAGAGGACAGUUCAUAUGCACAGGUCUGCCUGGAACAAGUUUUGUCAUGUUGCUACUGGACUGUUUUCAUUUGUGGGGUUUUUUUUCGGUAAACCUCUGGUCUUUAAUGGUAAACCGAGGGGAGACCAGAGUCAGGCGCACGCUGGUCUGCUUUUACUUCUCUAAGAUCGGCCAUUAGCCUUCCGUGAUUUAGUUUCAUAAAAGAGGAAUUUCCUCUUGCUAACCAACAUGUGUAAUGCAGACAGGGGCGGAUCUGCACGGGUGGCAUGGACCACCCUAAAAUAAUCUCUUACCACCCCUGGUGCCACACUAGUUUUGCAUACGACAGUACUAGAGAGAAACGUGGACGGUUCAUUCUCUGCCAGAUCCUAUAGUUUCACAUUUCUAAAAGAAGUAAAACAUUUCUUAUGUUCCACUUUCUCAGUAAUUUGACUUUGUACUUUUUAUGUGAUAUAGCUGACAAACAAAUGAUGUAAAGGUAGAUUUGUCAUAGAGAAAAGCUCCAUUCAUGAUAUAAUCACUGAAUCGUGACUGAUUUAGCUGUAACCUGAAGGCAUUUACAUGUGACCAAAUCUUCUCACCGUUAACAGUUAAAGUCCUGUCAGACACUAAAUGAUAGCCCUACAAACAAACUGUUUAAUUAUAUCACUUAAUACAUUUCAG